AGAUCACUUCUCUUGGAGCCCUUCUGUGAGCCCAGGAUACAGGGCAGAUAUGCCAAGUGAGCAAGACAAAAACCUAGAACUUUUAAAAACCACUACCAUCUUUCCUUUUGAAGAAAACUUUGCAACCAUGUCAGCACAGAGUACGUGGAUCUGCAUGCAAUGACCGAAGAGACAUUGCUAGAUUUCCAGAGGUAACAAAAACAUGAAUGUGAAAUUCUCAGCACUGCUACUGUGUAAUAAUUUUCUGAUACAAAUUACAAUACUGUUACCUUGCCCACUAUGGCUGCUGUUGAGUGCUACUCAGUUAUUUUGAGAUGCAGAAGAGCUGUAACACUGCACAAAGCUAACUACAUGCACAGCUGUCAUGUUUUCCACUCUUUCCUUUGAAAGCCAAUGCCAUUGCGUGACUCAUGGUGUGAAAGGCUCAGUUAGGUGGCCAUAUAAUUAAACACAGAAAGGCCAGGAGAAAGGAGGGCAACUCAACACCUCUAUUGCCAUCAGAGCACAACUGUUUUUGCCACAGUGAGCUGUAAGGAAGAAGCACUCUGAUAGCAGCUGAUGACACUUAUGGUACUUUACUGCAUUCAAGGAUCACCUGGACAAUGAACCAAUGUAGCAGGAAAUUCUAAUAUGCUGCUUUCAACAACGGAUAUGUGGACUGAGAAGUGGGAACUUGAGUGCUCAGAAAAAUCUUACACCUGCUACCUGAUGUGGCUCUGGCCUUACCUUUGCAUUUGAACUUCUGGCAGUCCUUCAGAGAUGGCAUUUUGACCUCAUAUGCUCUUCCUUUUGUGGAUGCGCAUACAGACCUCAUGCUCUUUCUGUGCCGAUUCCUGUAUAGGACAGUUGGCUGGACCACAGGAUUAUGAGAAGCUUGUAGUAGUUGUCCUCAGCAGGCUUUGACAGGGGAGUGCAAAUGUGCAUACUCCAAAACAGAAAUGUCUAGUACAUUGGAAACUGUGAGGAAACAGACCAUCAUAAUGGUAACCUGCACCAGCUGGGGUACAAUGCUGUGCUGCAACUGACCUGCUCCUACAGAAAUGCUGCAGGCAAUGACAGCAGUAUGGUUUACAGCAGUAAAGGCAAUGGAUGUGCUUGAAGAUGAUUAUUACUCCUAAUGUGAUAAGAAAAAGUCACCAGGGGAAGCUAGGAAUCAUCUUAAUCUACAGUGCUGUCCAUUUCAUUAGGUUUGGCAUUCUGUAGAAGAUUUAGAUCAAAAUGCAACGACUUUAGUCAGAAAAUUUGCUUAAGAAUAAAUGGGUUCAAAAAUACUGACAGCAAGGUGCUGCAUGUGUGUACAAAGCUCAGCUGGGAAGUAAGCUGACCACAGUAAA
ensembl:lncRNA